UACGUAGGGUGCAAGCGUUGUCCGGAAUUAUUGGGCGUAAAGAGCUCGUAGGCGGUUUGUCGCGUCUGCUGUGAAAACGCGAGGCUCAACCUCGCGCCUGCAGUGGGUACGGGCAGACUAGAGUGCGGUAGGGGAGAUUGGAAUUCCUGGUGUAGCGGUGGAAUGCGCAGAUAUCAGGAGGAACACCGAUGGGCGAAGGCAGAUCUCUGGGCCGUUACUGACGCUGAGGAGCGAAAGCGUGGGGGAGCGAACAGG
rnacentral:rRNA from 1 species